rnacentral:rRNA from 1 species
CCUACGGGCGGCUGCAGUGAGGAAUAUUGGUCAAUGGACGAGAGUCUGAACCAGCCAAGUAGCGUGAAGGAUGACUGCCCUACGGGUUGUAAACUUCUUUUAUAAGGGAAUAAAAUGAGGCACGUGUGGGAUUUUGUAUGUACCAUAUGAAUAAGGAUCGGCUAACUCCGUGCCAGCAGCCGCGGUAAUACGGAGGAUCCGAGCGUUAUCCGGAUUUAUUUGGUUUAAAGGGAGCGUAGGUGGUUUGUUAAGUCAGUUGUGAAAGUUUGCGGCUCAACCGUAAAAUUGCAGUUGAAACUGGCAGUCUUGAGUACAGUUGCGGUCGGCGGCAUUCGUGGUGUAGCGG